CCUGGUUGAUUCUGCCAGUAUUCAUAUGCUUGUCUCAAAGAUUAAGCCAUGCAUGUCUAAGUAUAAGCAACUUUGUACUGUGAAACUGCGAAUGGCUCAUUAAAUCAGUUAUAGUUUAUUUGAUGGUUUUUGCUACAUGGAUAACUGUGGUAAUUCUAGAGCUAAUACAUGCAUUCAAGCCCCGACUUCUGGAAGGGGUGUAUUUAUUAGAUAAAAAUCAACUUUGUUGGUGAAUCAUAAUAACUUCUCGGACCGCAUGGCCUCGUGCUGGCGGUGCUUCAUUCAAAUAUCUGCCCUAUCAACUGUCGAUGGUAGGAUAGAGGCCUACCAUGGUUGCAACGGGUAACGGGGAAUAAGGGUUCGAUUCCGGAGAGGGAGCCUGAGAAACGGCUACCACAUCCAAGGAAGGCAGCAGGCGCGCAAAUUACCCAAUCCCAACACGGGGAGGUAGUGACAAUAUGUAACAAUAUACGGCCUUAUACGUCGUAUAAUUGGAAUGAGUACAAUUUAAAUCCCUUAACGAGGAACAAUUGGAGGGCAAGUCUGGUGCCAGCAGCCGCGGUAAUUCCAGCUCCAAUAGCGUAUAUUAAAGUUGUUGCAGUUAAAAAGCUCGUAGUUGGACCUUGGACCUGGACAGGCGGUCCGCCUCACGGCGAGUACUGUCUUGCUGGGUCUUUCCUCUUGGUGAUCUGUUGUUUCGGCAGCAGGGAACCAGGACCUUUACUUUGAAAAAAUUAGAGUGUUCAAAGCAGCUCGACGCCGGAAUAUAUUAGCAUGGAAUAAUAAAAUAGGACGUGCGGUUCUAUUUUGUUGGUUUUUGGAAUCGCCGUAAUGAUUAAUAGGGACAGUCGGGGGCAUUAGUACUCACAUGCU
rnacentral:rRNA from 1 species